rnacentral:lncRNA from 1 species
AGCUGGAAUCCUGGCAGUUCCACAGACCUUGCACUGGUCUCCGUAGGAAGCCUGGCAAAGGACAUAAGAAACUUGCUCCAGCUUAUUCAGAAUGGCAGCUGAUUGAGUCUCACAGAAACCAAACAUCAAAUUGAGCUUGAGGAAUUGGAUUAUGUUAUGUUCAUAUACACCAAGGGACUUCUUCUUCCAGACCAAAUCAAGUAAAAUUGACUGGACAUUCUCUAUUCUCACAACAGUUAGAUAUUAAAAAGUACAAAAAAUUGCUAUUUUGACACACUGGAUAUAGCAUCAAAGGACAAUGAUGCUGAGAGACAAGGUCAGAUGAGCCCUCUUCUACUGAAGUUACAACCUCAAGAAAAUUUCCAGAUGGUGACCUCGAGAGAGAAGACCCUGGAAUGAAAUAUGGAUGGAAAUCCAGGGAUCACAGGGCAAGGAACCAGAGAGGCAGCUGAUAUACAACGAAAAUUCUAUUAUUCUGUGGAGGACCCACUUUGAAUAUCCAGUUAAAAAUAAAUCAGAACAUCUACAAAGAAGCUAAUCAGGAAGGCAAAACGUAUUUAAUGGAACCUGGCCAUACAGGAUGCUGCAACUGGUCAUAAUGAUGUGAAUAAGAUGGCCUUAAAUGAGCUUUAAUGAGGUCUUCUACUUGGCAAAGAACCUGUGAGACCAAAAACCAUUGCCAUUUGUUAAAAGAUGGAGAAACCCUGAUGACAAGCAGAUUUUUCAUUGCAUUUCACUUUCUCUCCAGCUACUGUCUUUACCAGCUCACACCGAUGUUCAGCUCUUCCCACUGUUCACACCAACAACCUGAAGGAAGGUCUGGGAUUUGGGCCUGUAGACCUGCUACAUUCCUUAAGAUGGGUAGAAGGAAGAGGGGCUGUAGGAAAUCCUGUAAUUCAUGGUUGUUCCAUAGCGAACCAUCUGUGUACAGGGUUAGCCCAGUUAACUCCUGUCUUUCCAAACUGUUACAUGUUCUUCUGAGUCCAGAAUGCUCCUUGGCAUUCCUGUGUUCUGUUCUGUUUUGUUUCAAAUAG